rnacentral:rRNA from 1 species
UACGUAGGGGGCUAGCGUUGUCCGGAUUAUUGGGCGUAAAGAGCGUGUAGGCGGCCAGGUAGGUCCGUUGUGAAAACUCGAGGCUCAACCUCGAGACGUCGAUGGAAACCAUCUGGCUAGAGUCCGGAAGAGGAGAGUGGAAUUCCUGGUGUAGCGGUGAAAUGCGCAGAUAUCAGGAAGAACACCUAUGGCGAAGGCAGCUCUCUGGGACGGUACUGACGCUGAGACGCGAAAGCGUGGGGAGCGAACAGG